CCCUUAGAUGUUCUGGGCCGCACGCGCGCUACACUGACGAAGUCAGCGAGCAUGUCCUACGCCGACAGGUGCGGGGAAUCUUGUCAAACUUCGUCGUUAUGGGGAUUGAUUAUUGAAAUUCUUGAUCAUCAACGAGGAAUUCCUAGUAAGCGCAAGUCAGCAGCUUGCGUUGAUUACGUCCCUGCCCUUUGUACACACCGCCCGUCGCUACUACCGAUUGAAUGGUUUAGUGAGAUCUUCGGAUUGGCGCCACUGCGGCUCAGCAAUGGGCUCGGUGGAUGCCGAAAAGUUGAUCAAACUUGAUCAUUUAGAGGAAGUAAAAGUCGUAACA
rnacentral:rRNA from 1 species